AUCACACUCUGAGACAACUAAAUUGGAUGCCCUCCCGAAACGGGCCAAAUGCCCUUUCUGCCCAACCUCCAGGGCCAGCCCGGUCGGACAGCAGGCUGAGCAGCUCCCCAGAACUUCUUGGGAACGCCUCUUCUUUCCCACCUAGGUUGUGGACAAACCAGCCUCUGCGGCUGGCACUUCUCUCACAGAGAUGCCAUUUUGUCCCCUAUGAAACACUGUGAAUUGUAGUGCGAAUACAGACCUACCACCUAUGGAGCUAUGCAGUGCUGUUGUCCCUAUGACAGAAUAAAGGUGCUAAGUCAGUUCCAAAUUGUAAUUGCCCCUUUUAGGAGCACACAUUAAAUAAUUGGGUCUACUUGGAGUCUUGGGACAGGCCCAAAAUGUAGCCAAAGAAAUACUAUUUAUUGAUGCAAGGGGAAAUUCCAUAUAUGGGCAUGUUUAGCAAUUUCUGUCCAGGGAUGAUGUUGGACAACUACGUUCGCACCACAUGCACUGACUCUGAUUCUAUCCGCCUUCCCUCUGUCAGUAUUAUUUAUUGCUGCCAGCAUGGCUGGGGAAGUAGUCUAUGCCGAUCUCAACAUCUCUUCUGAACCACAUAGGUCAACCCUGCUCCAUCCAUCUCAGCAGUGCAUUCUGCACUUGGAGAAUGGAAACCCUGAUGCAGAUGUAAGCGGAACAAAAUGUAAUAACACCUUAGAAGAUUUCCAAUCCCGUCUACUCAGGGAAAUCUGCAACCGAAGCCGGGAUAGC
rnacentral:lncRNA from 1 species